rnacentral:rRNA from 1 species
GACGAACGCUGGCGGCGUGCUUAACACAUGCAAGUCGAACGGAAAGGCCCUGCUUUUGUGGGGUGCUCGAGUGGCGAACGGGUGAGUAACACGUGAGUAACCUGCCCUUGACUUUGGGAUAACUUCAGGAAACUGGGGCUAAUACCGGAUAGGAGCUCCUGCUGCAUGGUGGGGGUUGGAAAGUUUCGGCGGUUGGGGAUGGACUCGCGGCUUAUCAGCUUGUUGGUGGGGUAGUGGCUUACCAAGGCUUUGACGGGUAGCCGGCCUGAGAGGGUGACAGGCCACAGUGGGACUGAGAUACGGCCCAGACUCCUACGGGAGGCAGCAGUGGGGAAUAUUGCACAAUGGGCGGAAGCCUGAUGCAGCAACGCCGCGUGCGGGAUGACGGCCUUCGGGUUGUAAACCGCUUUCGCCUGUGACGAAGCGUGAGUGACGGUAAUGGGUAAAGAAGCACCGGCUAACUACGUG